AGAGUUUGAUCCUGGCUCAGAUUGAACGCUGGCGGCAGGCCUAACACAUGCAAGUCGAGCGGUAGCACAGGGAGCUUGCUCCUGGGUGACGAGCGGCGGACGGGUGAGUAAUGUCUGGGAAACUGCCUGAUGGAGGGGGAUAACUACUGGAAACGGUAGCUAAUACCGCAUAACGUCGCAAGACCAAAGAGGGGGACCUUCGGGCCUCUUGCCAUCAGAUGUGCCCAGAUGGGAUUAGCUAGUAGGUGGGGUAAUGGCUCACCUAGGCGACGAUCCCUAGCUGGUCUGAGAGGAUGACCAGCCACACUGGAACUGAGACACGGUCCAGACUCCUACGGGAGGCAGCAGUGGGGAAUAUUGCACAAUGGGCGCAAGCCUGAUGCAGCCAUGCCGCGUGUAUGAAGAAGGCCUUCGGGUUGUAAAGUACUUUCAGCGGGGAGGAAGGCAUUGUGGUUAAUAACCGCAGUGAUUGACGUUACUCGCAGAAGAAGCACCGGCUAACUCCGUGCCAGCAGCCGCGGUAAUACGGAGGGUGCAAGCGUUAAUCGGAAUUACUGGGCGUAAAGCGCACGCAGGCGGUCUGUCAAGUCGGAUGUGAAAUCCCCGGGCUCAACCU
rnacentral:rRNA from 1 species